rnacentral:misc_RNA from 1 species
UUGUGGAGGAGGACGCCGNAGGUGGGGCUGAUGACUGGGGUGAAGUCGUAACAAGGUAGCCGUACCGGAAGGUGCGGCUGGAUCACCUCCUAACCAGGGAGACAAAACUGAUUUAGAUGUUUGAGCAAUUUUAUUCUCAAGCCUAAAUCCUGUCACCUUAGGUCGAUCGGUACCUCAAAUUUAAAGCAGUUAUUUAGUGAGUUUUCAUUAGAUUGAAUUGUUAAUUGAUUUCAGUUCCUAAACUUUGUCUAGGUCACACCCAACAAGGGUACUCCUGGGCCAUUAGCUCAGGUGGUUAGAGCGCACCCCUGAUAAGGGUGAGGUCCCUGGUUCAAGUCCAGGAUGGCCCAUUCGGUGUUGGGGGUAUAGCUCAGUUGGUAGAGCGCCUGCUUUGCAAGCAGGAUGUCAGCGGUUCGAGUCCGCUUACCUCCACUGAUCAACCUCCUGAUAGCGAACUCGAAGGAGAUGAGCUUUUGAUUGGGGUGAUUUAGUUUUUGUUUAGGCUGAUUAUUGAACCUAGCUUCUUAUCAUUCAUUUUUUCAAUUUGAAAAUGUUGAUAUGACGCUGGGCUCACUGAGAUUCGAAAGGAUUUCAAGAUGUUCAGCAGAACCUUGACAACUGCAUAGGUAAGUCUGGAAAGAAUAAAGCAUCUCAUAGAUACAUUAUUCUCAAUUUAUUUAAUUUUGAAUAAUGUCUAAUUCUAGAGAAAGAGCCGAGACUCUAUAGAUAUAGAUACGUGAUUUCCACAUUCUUCUCUAUAGAGAUUUAUUGGUCAAGCUACAA